CUGGCGAUGAGAGCUGUGUUAGAAACAGAUUCCUUUUUGGCUUCGGUUAUUGGUAUUGUAGUUAAUUUUUCUUCCGCAUGGUUUGAAGUUAUCAUUUUUCCUAGCUUACUGAUCCUAUUAAUUGCAUGUUUUUGAGCUUUUAUGCCGUAUGAUUUAAACUUUGAAUCAACUAGUUGGCGCAAAGCAAUAAACAAAUCAGUAGUAUCAAUAUCGGCCUUUCUGUUUACUAAAGCGACCUCCUUCCUUUUCAUAGUCUUCUUAAAGGAGAAGACAUGUCCUAAACAUUCGGACUCAAGUAUUCUAAUCCAACCUCCAAAGAGUUUGACAACUUCCAAUCCACCGUUACCAACCUCGAGAGUUAAUUUUUGAUCUUGAAAUGAAUGAUCAAUAACUGCAAGAUCCACACUAAUUUUAGAUACUUUCAAUAGUUUAAUGAGAUUCUGGACUGGUACCAGAAGCAACUUGGCUCCCAAAUUCACUCGAUCUUCGGUGACAAGAUUGUUGUCUUCUUUCGAAUUGAUGGCACAAUUAGAAAGUACUACUUUAAAAUUAUCACUUUCGCUAUCAUGAAAAAAUGAUCGAUUUUCUAAGUGGUUUUUAUGUCCUUUGAAUGUGAGGAAGCUAACAUCGUCAUCCAGUGAACAAGGGACAUCAGUUGGAAAAAGAAUCGACGGGUCUUUGGACCUUUUGCAGCAUGAUAACAGUGCACGUUCUAUUUCUUCCCACUCUGCAGCGCUUUUUUGAGAUUUUCUAGCUAAUAAAUAAUUAAUCAAUUUUGGAAGUAAGAUUGGUACCGGCAAAUUAUUUAAUGAUGUAUCAACUAGUCUGAUCUUCUUGUUAUGGUAAUGAAAAGCAUGGCACAAUUGGUUGGAGCUCAGAAGUGCUUUCAAUCCCCCAGCUAGAGAAACAGCCAACUUAUUAGGGGUAGAAAUUUUCCUCAAAUUGUCAGUUUCAUCUUGGAAUAUUAGUAGAU